AUAAACGAGCCUGAUAGAAAAUGUGAAAUGCGAUAGUACGUUAAGGCCUCGUUAGAUUUCUUUGGGAACAGAAGAGGCAGAAAAAGCUUGAGCAGACCCUGGAGGGAGCAAGAACAGCAUUUCCGCAGCCAGGCGGCCCUGGCUCUUGGGUUUUCUCACAGUUAGAGGCUCCGCGGUUGGCGUUUCUAGCCCUUCCCCAUGCAACACUGCCCCGGGGGAGGGACGGGUGCCUGCCUCCGCCUCCGAGUCCCAUAGAUGAACCCCCGAGAGACUGAACUCAGCGCCACUUUCUAGAACUUCAGUUUGCAAACAGGUAAACUCAUGCUAGUGUCAAGGUCACGAUCAAGCCCAUUUCUUGUGUGUCUGAAGGGUGUCAAAGAGUUCAAGCCCAAAAGCUUUCACUACAGAGGAAAGGAAAUGAUGAUCAGGAAGUCUACAGAGCAUUUCUUAGAACACAGGAGACGGGGUCUCUACCUCCGCUGCAGAUAGAUGGCACAUGGCAAUAGCAGCCUUCGCUUCUGCCUUCGGCUUCAUUCAUUCUUAACAUUGCAAAUCACUAAGCUCUUGAUUAGAGGCCAACUGGGGAGGUUUUUUCUAGUAAGUGGGUUCAUUUUGGCACAUUCAGAUUUCCCCCUGCAGCCUGCGUUUUCUACCGUUUUCCGUGUACACUAUCAAAGCCAGAUUGUAUGUCUUAUAAAAUAAUUGAGGUCUGAGAUGAGAAACGGGUGUGUUGGCAGGCCUGAGAGCAGAUCAAAGCUGAGCUAGGAAAGGGCUUUACAGAGAGGGCUCCGUCAGUGGAGAAGCCAAGGAAAGAUGACAUCUAAAUUUGCCCUGUGUUCCCCAAACGGAUGCUAAAUGUCCACAGAAUUAGUUGUGAUGUGGGCCGCUGUGAGUACCCAGCAGGAAAGAAGGAACACAGACAAGGAAGUGGUUUUCAAGAACAAAGACACGCGAGAGUCCCAAGAUUAGUGCUCCGGUGACAGGUCUCUGAUGGAUCCACAAAGCAUUUUCUGUUUGUUUUUUUUUUUUUUAAUUAAAAAAAAUGUUAAUGUUUGU